CCGGAACUGCGUACCUAGAGGUCCGGACCUCAUUCUAGCUUGAGGUCUGGCCUCCUAAGCUUUCUUCCACAGGACGGGGGGCCAGAGUACCUGGAGACCGGCAGCGCCAGCUACUAGCGUUGCAGGGGACGAAUUCCCCCGCAGAGAACACCGGCGCGGUCCGUCCGAGCAGGCGUCAACCACGACAUGGAUUUGGCCCCACCUGCGGGUUAUUACCUCACCCGCAGGUGGGCCCGGGGGCCACAUGGCGGAUUGCACCCGCCUAAUCCUAAGUGUAGGAUGAGCUUGGGGGCAGUCAAGGAGUGCUCGAUUUAGAGGCGAAUGAAUGCGAGAAGCACACAAGGAUUUAGAGUGGUUCGGGCCGACGGAGCGUAAUACCCUACAUCCACUGUGUGUUGUAUUGCCUGUCCCCCGAGUGUGCUCUCUUAGCCCGAGAGGGAGGAUAUGUUCAGAGUGUUCUGAGAGUUGUGACUCAGUUGUCU